rnacentral:rRNA from 1 species
GAGAUUUGGAAGUGCUCGCAAGAGAACCGGAACACAGGUGCUGCAUGGCUGUCGUCAGCUCGUGUCGUGAGAUGUUGGGUUAAGUCCCGCAACGAGCGCAACCCUUGUCAUUAGUUGCUACGAAAGGGCACUCUAAUGAGACUGCCGGUGACAAACCGGAGGAAGGUGGGGAUGACGUCAAGUCCUCAUGGCCCUUAUGGGUAGGGCUUCACACGUCAUACAAUGGUCGGGACAGAGGGUCGCCAACCCGCGAGGGGGAGCCAAUCCCAGAAACCCGAUCGUAGUCCGGAUCGCAGUCUGCAACUCGACUGCGUGAAGUCGGAAUCGCUAGUAAUCGCGGAUCAGCAUGUCGCGGUGAAUACGUUCCCGGGUCUUGUACACACCG